rnacentral:lncRNA from 12 species
ACAAAACAAACAAAAAACCCCCAACAACAGCUAUGAAAUUAACAACAAACAGAACAGUAACCCAGUUUCAGUCCUUUUUUGGACGCAGACACCCUUUUCCGAGCUACAGUUAGUGGUGCAACUGCAGAAGGGCUGGGGUGAUGGCAGUGGCGUCCCAGGUGGGAGAGGGAUGGAGAAGAGGCUUCUCUGAUCAUGGUGUCGGUCACGGUGCUCAGCAGGGUGCCUGGAGGCGGCAGGCUGAAGCGGAAGAGUGGGGGUGGGGAGUAAGGUCCCACAGCCAAGAGAAGGCAUGUUGUAUUGCACCUUUAUGGGUUUAUAUUGAACUGAAAAUGGCUUGUCCUGUAUCCCCCCGGGGUUUGUGAAGUUGGUUCAGCCCCUCCCCGCCGGCGUGACCCCAUUCGCUGUGGUUCGGUUUUCCCCCCUCCCCUCGCCCUGGGUUUAAAAUUCCCCCGCCUUUCCUUUUUCCACGUUCUUUUUUCCCCGGAACGAGUUCGGGAGUAACCUGCUGGACAAUUAUCCCGGGAAAAGGAGCCGUCUUUAUUUUUUUACCUUUGUCCAUGUGGGUUCCCGUCCUCCUCUGGUCCAGAGCUAGUUAGGGGACUGAAGAGAGGAGGAAAUACCACAGCUAGAGCUCAACGUGGGACUUCCACGACCUUGGAGACUCCACGGAACAGCUGUAAUUCCACCCGUGGAUUAUAAGCCUUUUGAACUGUCCAGCUACCUUCGCCGCAGAAGGCUGCCUUUGGAGCAGCAACCGCUGACAGGGAAGGACCGGCAAACCGCCUGAGCCCAAGGCGGAUCGGUUCCGGAUAAGGACUUUCUUUGCAGCGACUUUUGCACAGCCGAGAUCCCCAGAAGAGAGCCCGCAAGGGUGAGUGCCCCUCAGGGUUAGCGGGGACCCUGCAGUUGCCCUCGGUUAGUGAGGGGGGGCGGCCUCCCGCGUGGUGACCGGGACAGACGGGUGCACAGUGCGGUGCCCGGCGGCGGCGGCAGCACCGCGGAGCGGGCAAGGUUGCACGUGGUCUCGGCGGCACGGAGCCGGCGGGCGGUGGCGCCGAGUGCCGGCCGCGGCGCCAGCGAGCCAGCUGCGAACAGCAGGGCUGCAAGCGGCAGGCUGCAGACUGCGUGGACCGGGCACGAGUGAUCGCGAGGCGAGUGGCCCGGAGGGGCAGCAGCCCUGGGCGUGCCGAGCGGCCGCGGGCCCGAGCGGUGGCGGCCCCAGGCAGUGGCAGCGGCAGCGGUGGUGCCAGCACCGGCCCCCCCCCCCCCCCCCCCCCCCCCCCCCCCCCCCCCCGUGGCAGCGGCAGCGGUGGUGCCAGCGCCGGCAGCGGCGAGCAGCUGCAAAUUUUACAGGAGCGCGGUUCACUGGCGCGUGAUCACUCCUUCCAUCGCGGGGUUGGGGAGAGGAAAAAAGCGGCUGCCUGUAGCUGCGUUUACUGCAAAGAAAGGGAGAGGCAGCAAAACCAUUUGGAGUGUGGCUCCUAACAACUUUAAACAGCAGCCCCUGCAUCAAAGUGCACCUAGCAUUGCACCAGGGAUUGAUCUCAACUGGAACUUGUUGCCCAAAUCCAGGAGACAGCCCAGAGGCAAUCUUCUACAUGAUAAGGAUGACCAGAGCACCAGGAGAUGGAUAACAGGUGCAAAGAACUGGAGAUGUGCAAAAACAUGCAGAUAAAAACAUUUCUGUCAGGCACUAACAGGUUUUAAUUCCCUCAUGGUCCCUCACCUGGGACCUCCUAUGCUGUCUGCCUGGGAGCCCUGUGGAAACUCUGGCUGGGCAUUAGUGUGCAUGUACCUGUCCCUGGUGUGGCCUUCCCUGGAGCUGUGCCCCCUGCUGAGGUUCCCUGGAUGCACCUUGCUCACCACACGCAAUACUUGGGGCUGCUGAUAAGCCCCUUACCCAGGAGGAACCAUAGAAGGGGCACAACCUGCAUGAGGGUCACCCCAACUCCAGGCUUGUUCUCCCACUGAGGACAGCUCUGCUUCCACAGUCCCCUCAAGCAAGACUGCACAUGCUUCUGCUCUGCCAAAAAAGUAUUGCAAUCACCUUAGAAAAUCCAGACUCUUCUAUUAAUAGUUCAGAGAAAGUAUUGUUCAGGGAACAGCAUCUAUAAGUGUUCAGGAGAGCAGGAAAUAAGCAGAUGAAGUGAUGCUGGCCAUAGCAACGGUAGUAGAGUGGAGGGAGGAAGGGAUGGAGGGAAAAACACAUACAUAAAUAUAAAGCUAUAUGGGGAAAACAAAUUUUCUAUCCUGAAAGCUUAUCACUUCCCAAAGCUGAAUUGCAAGUCAGAUGCUGAGGUGGCUCUGUGCUUCACCUAGCUUCCUUUCACUGAUGACCAUCUGUCCAGGGGCAGUGCAGGUGACAAAGGGAGUAGGUUCCUGGAAAGGGAGCAGUGUCAUGACCCCUGAUACUGUAAAUUUCCCUGGCAGAACUAAUCCAGGCUGCCAUAGGCAGUGAUAAUGGGAAGUGACACAACUGAGGUCUGAAAAUGAGGUAACAGAAUGGAACUGUCAUGCUUCCCAGAGCAAUGAUAAAUUAGGUCAUCUCUGUUUCAGGUAAGAAGCAAGCUGUAACCACACAAAUUAGAGAAGGAGAAUGAAAAGGUAUUACACCCAAGAAUAAAAAAAAAUAGGUUACUGUUUACUGUUACUGUUUUAUGUUACUGCAUACUUUUGGCUGGUGUUCUUGCUAUGUACUACCCCAUUAUGCACACUGAAAAUCUGUAUGCACUUUUCCCUGGCUUGAUCCUGCCUGAGCAAAUAAGACAAUCCAUAUCUAAGAACAUAUCCAUUCCAACUAUUAUUUUGCUUUCGACGUGGUUGAUUCACAAUGGGUGGGUUACAGAGUGGCUACAAGACUUGGGGAAUCCUGUGAAUAACUUUUAAAGAUUACCUAUGUCUGAGGAAACUGUAUUGGGUUCCCUUAGCAGUCUGUUUGUCCAAUUAUACUUUUCAUAUGUCUUUUUUCCUGCUUCUAAAUUCUGAGUUUAUUUAGGUAUUUGUUUUUGUCCUGACAAUCUUAAAGAAAUGGGGAUGGCUAUCAUUUCCAAAAGCUAGCACUAACACAAGCUACACAUAGGAUGUUACAUUAAUAUUUUAUUUGGUAAAUACACCAAUCCCAGAACAAAUCAUACCAUUCAUAAGGUAAAAUAUUCUCCAUGCAGAUUAGCAGUCCCCUCACACCAGGAGGUUAAAAAAUAAGUAUGUUGUCUGCUUCCAAGGAAAAAAGCCUGCAAAAUGGUACAAGAAUUUGCAUGGUUUCUCCCAGUCAGCUACUCACAUACAGGUGCCUUACAAAAAAUGAUCAGAAGGGCUUCAUAUGGCAUGCUUAGGUGUAUACAGGACGAUACUGAUUUCCCUUAUAUUAACUGAAGCACUUUCCGACUGCGAAUUAACUCAAGAGACCAUCAGAAUCACAGGUCAUCUCAGACACAUGAAGACUCAUGAGAAGUAUUCAUGAAUGAAGUGCUCUUUAGAGGCUCACAUCUUUUCUUCUUUCCCCUAACAAAGGCAUUAAAGAUUAAUGUUCCAGUAAGAGCCAUAGCAAAAUAAACUUCUCACAGAUCCAUGGUAAUAAUGUUUACUUGCACUCACAGAAAUGAAAGCAGAACCCAGUCAACAUAUUUUCACUGGC